rnacentral:lncRNA from 1 species
CUGAAUAGUAUUGUUGGCAGCAUAAGAAAUUAUCAAAUGUCUAGAUAUGAUCAGACUAGACAAAGUGAGGUAUGAUCCUUCUGGCAUGCAGUUAAUCUAUAGCUCGGAGAAAGUACGUGCUUUAAACAUGGCUACCUUCUUGUUGGUGCAUUUCCAAUACCUCACGCCUUCAGUUGCAGAGCGUUUCCUUCUGCAUACGCAAUUCUGUAUGCUAGAGAUUUGAUUAAAUUUUGAUCCUUGACGGUCUUGAAACUUGUAUAAUUAUGAUUGGAAACAAUGAAUCAAGGUCUGAAUUGAAAUUUCAGUAGUUAUUU